UUUAUAGACUGCCGUCUGCUCCAAGGAGCGGGGGCUCGAUGAUGACUGGCAGUAGCCACUGAGGCAAGGUGGGGAUAGAGGGUUGGGGGUUCCCCUGGAUGGGGAGACCCAGAGACUGCGGGAGUACUUCAGAGGACAGAACCCUGAGAAAAAGAGCUGGAAAUGAGCUAAUUCCCUGGACUUGAAGCAUCAUCUGGCCAGCCAGCUGUCCACACUUGGGAUAUUUUAGAACACAGUUUGGAAAAUUCUGCCUGAUCUAAUGCAGCGUACAUCACCAUAUCAUCUGGCCAUUUUGGAUUUUUUUUUUACAGGUAUCUCAACUUAGAGAGAAAACAAGGUGUACAGAGAAUAGCAUGCACAUUAUAGAAACCAGAACACAAAGGGAACACAGGUAUGGCUGGAGGUGGCUUGUUGAAUGGAUUAUGAGAUUAAAGUCCUUCCCCUAUGGUAUGCUGGUAAACAUUCAGCCUAGGUUAGGAGUGAAUGAAAGCUUGUGGCCUAUGUGAAAUGAGUUGGUGGGCUCAGUUCAGGUGCCAGUGGACAAGUAUGCACCUCUUAAAUGCGUAACUCCAUUUGGCACAAAAUUGACAUGCUUAUUGAUAAACUUGGCAGAUACCAAGUAAGCACCUGUUUUCUGUCAAUGUCCUGGAUUCCCUUGUCAUUGGGCAUCAGAACAGGAAGCAACACAGAAAUGCAAUUGAGAGUCUUGUUACAAACUGCAGAACUGAAAUCACUGAUACCUGGGUCUAAGCGUUAGAACUGUUUUGGGACAGUGUCUCUGAUGCAAGAGACUGCUCAGCGUGCACCAGCAGUGAGGCUCCCCCACUAACAACUGAAAUCACUGAGACCUGUGUUAAAUGGUGGGACCUGAAGACAUGCCAGGAGUUGACCCUGACACUCCUCCUGUCGGCCCUAUGUAGUAGUGGACCCAAACCAGGUAAUGCCUUUGGGUACUUGGCCCUUUGGUCACUGGCUGGUGUCUAUUAAUUGGCCCUUUUGGAACUUGUGGGUGUUUCUCCAAUGUAGGGACCCUAGUCGAGGCACUCCUACUCGAUGACCUCAAAAGGAAGGGCUCUACCACCUCUUCGGGCCGUCCCCAAACUCCAAUACUGAGGCUAGUGCUGAGUACCAGGAGCCAAUAUGGUGUCACCCAACCGGUGCAAAAAUGAGGAGGAAUGCCCUCAGCCAGUGCCAAUCUCCUCCUCCCCUAACAAAGCCGAGUUCAGGAUGGAGAGACUCCCAAGAUGAAGGACUCCAAAAAGCUGGACCUUUUUGGUAGAAACAUCUACUCAACUGGGGGUCUGCAGCUCAGGAUCACUGACAGCAGGCGCUCCUGAGCAGACAUGACUGCAACAUGCAGGACUUCCUGUUGAAGUUUAAGGACUCUCCCCUCUGGCUCCUCAUCCCCAAAGGAGUGAAACCAGCCCCCCAAUUAUUAUUUCACUUUGGCAAACACACUCCCCACAAUUUGCAGACCUGCAGCAUCGCCAAUAUAUCCCAACAUAGAAGAAAGAAGAAAGCAGCAGACUGAUGAAAAGCUUUGGCUCAACUCAUGCAAUGAAAAAUUGAAAAUUAUGUUAGUAAAAAGGGUGAAGCACACUAAGUGGUCUGAUGCCCUCAGUCACUAAAAUCAAAGGAAGUUCCUCAAAGUGGUCUGGAGUCUCAGAUUUAUGCUGGACCCAUCAUGCUCCUGGACACACAUUGCUGCAAUGGUGAGGAAUGCCUUAUGAUGUCUUAAAAUAUCCAUGAAAUGGUGUUCUUCCUAGCUUCUAGCCAUUGUGAUCAAUACAUUUUUUUCAUCUUCAUGUUAGAGUACUGUGUCUUGCUCUACCCAUCAUUGAACAUAACUUUAUAAGAGGAUUGAUGCAGCACUCAGCAACAUGCCUGAUACCAGCAAAUGGUGACGUGAACACGUCACCUGUGCAUUAAAGUGCAAAUGCAUCCUCACUUAUUUCAGAGCAGAUUUCAAAGUCCUGCCCCUAACCUACAGAUCUCUUAGCUGAAUGGGACCUGACUGCCAGCUUAUUUUCAAAACCUUCCAAGGCUGGGGAUUUCAGAAAAAAACAAACAAAUCUUAUGGUUCAAACCAUCCAUUUAGCUUCACCAAUUGCAACACUAUUAGAAGCCCCAGUGUAAGCAAGGUUCUAGCAGUUUAAUGGGUUUACCAUGUCAAUUGUCCCCUGGGAUCCUGGAAAGAGAAAACAUAAAAUAUUCUGGACUUUCUUUUAUCAACAUUUUGUUCUGUACUUAAAUAUAAUACAAAGGUGAAAGGAACCUUAAAAGCUCCAUAGACUUAGGUGUCAGAUUAGAGGGGGAAAAGGUAGUGGUACUCUUCCACAAAUGCAACUCAGGUGAGAAAUCCAAAUGAGAGACCAUUCGCUGUAGGCUGUGCAGAAAUUCAAAAUGCAAUUAUGUGCUCUCUGAGUUCUGCUUAGCUUCCCCACUCCCUCUUCAGUGGAAUAUGCCCAUGGGCUUGGUUGCUUUCCUUAGGCUUGCCUUCUUGAUUGGGAGAAAAAAUACAGAGUGUCACGGUAAAUUGUGCAGCUCUGUGAUCCUCCCUUUCUUUUCUUAAAUGAAGAUUUAAAUAGUUAAUGUAAAUGUCAAUAUGAUUCUCAGCACUGGGCAUCUGAGUUAGCACCCUACUGAGAUGGAAAGGCAGUUCAUGUGUCUCAGAGCUAUUGUUCUAGGCAUUCUGCAGAUUCUUACAGACACCCCUGUGUUGGCUACCUUUGGGUCACAUUUUUGAGGUUUUCUUCACAUUAUAAAUGACUUGCUGCUUUUAGUGAAAGCUGAGAGUCUAGAGAAGAAGAUGGUCACAUCAGAGAAGUGCCAAUACAGCAUAUGGACUCACACUGACUGUUUCUGAGACCUGCACAGGUUAUAUGGAAGUGAAUAGGAGUGGAGACUAAACUAUCUUCUGAUUCCAAGAGGGGGUCCCAUCCUCUUCAGUGAAGUGUUGAGUCACAUUGGAAGGGCUGCAUAUUAACUUUGCUUGUGUUAUACCUCUUUCAUAGCUAAAUGUACAAUUUCAUUCCCUCAGGGAAUCCACUAGCCCUAAAUUCAUUUUAACUAAUUUGUUUUUGGAAUUUUAUACAAAAUGUAAAAUGGCUGUGGUGAUUCUUGAGAAAAUUAGGAUGCUAUCUUUUUGCCUGACCUCAGGGAAGUAAUAAGAAUAAAAAGUUCACACAUUUCUUAUUUGACAGCGGCAGUUAAAAUGAAAGACGAAUGUCUCUCAUAAGAGUUAGAGGUAAUUGAAAUCCAUAAAAUUCCACACUAAACGGGUUAGAUAUUAAGCAAAUAUAUGCAGGUAAUUUCCCUUUCUUGGGUUCUUGUUUGUUUGUUGUAAAGGUAAAAGUAAAAUGUUAGGUUUAAAAUGUAAGCUUAAAUUUCUAACUGCAGAUCAAUAUUUAUCUGCUUGAGAAGUAUGGCCAAUAGGAAUGUAAUUUAAAUAACAAACAAUAUACUUUGACUCUUAUGCGUACAGUUAAAUGUCAUCUUCUCUUCUGGACCCCUGAGAGACUCUACAAUUGGAGUGUUAUUUUGAUUAUGGGAUAUCUUUAAGUUUUGUUGAUGCCACAGAGAGCAUAUGAGAGGCACCUUUUUCUUGUGUAUGUAUAGAAAUGUAAAUAAAUAAAAGAUUGUGUGGUCUAUUUUCACA